rnacentral:rRNA from 1 species
AGAGUUUGAUCCUGGCUCAGGAUGAACGCUGGCGGCGUGCUUAACACAUGCAAGUCGAACGGGAAAUAUUUCAUUGAGACUUCGGUGGAUUUGAUCUAUUUCUAGUGGCGGACGGGUGAGUAACGCGUGGGUAACCUGCCUUAUACAGGGGGAUAACAGUCAGAAAUGACUGCUAAUACCGCAUAAGCGCACGGUUCCGCAUGGAACAGUGUGAAAAACUCCGGUGGUACAGGAUGGAUUCGCGUCUGAUUAGCCAGUUGGUGGGGUAACGGCCUACCAAAGCAACGAUCAGUAGCCGGCCUGAGAGGGUGAACGGCCACAUUGGGACUGAGACACGGCCCAAACUCCUACGGGAGGCAGCAGUGGGGAAUAUUGCACAAUGGGGGAAACCCUGAUGCAGCGACGCCGCGUGAGUGAAGAAGUUAUUCGUAACGUAAAGCUCUAUCAGCAGGGAAGAAAAUGACGGUACCUGACUAAGAAGCCCCGGCUAACUACGUGCCAGCAGCCGCGGUAAUACGUAGGGGGCAAGCGUUAUCCGGAUUUACUGGGUGUAAAGGGAGCGUAGACGGCACAGCAAGUCUGAUGUGAAAGCCCGGGGCCCAACCCCGGAACUGCAUUGGAAACUGCUGGGCUUGAGUGCAGGAGAGGUAAGCGGAAUUCCUAGUGUAGCGGUGAAAUGCGUAGAUAUUAGGAGGAACACCAGUGGCGAAGGCGGCUUGCUGGACUGUAACCGACGCUCAGUCCCGAAAGCGUGGGGAGCAAAUAGGAUUAGAUACCCUAGUAGUCCACGCCGUAAACGAUGAGUGCUAAGUGUUGGGGGUCAGACCUCAGUGCUGCAGUUAACGCAAUAAGCACUCCGCCUGAGUAGUACGUUCGCAAGAAUGAAACUCAAAGGAAUUGACGGGGGCCCGCACAAGCGGUGGAGCAUGUGGUUUAAUUCGAAGCAACGCGAAGAACCUUACCAGGUCUUGACAUGGAGAUAAAGGCUCUGGAGACAGAGAGAUAGGUAUAUCUCACACAGGUGGUGCAUGGUUGUCGUCAGCUCGUGUCGUGAGAUGUUGGGUUAAGUCCCGCAACGAGCGCAACCCCUGUUGCCAGUUGCCAGCAUUAGGUCGGGGACUCUGGCGAGACUGCCUCUGCAAGGAGGAGGAAGGCGGGGAUGACGUCAAAUCAUCAUGCCCCUUAUGACCUGGGCUACACACGUGCUACAAUGGACGGAUCAGAGGGAGGCGAAGCCGCGAGGUGGAGCGAAACCCAGAAACCCGUUCACAGUUCGGACUGCAGUCUGCAACUCGACUGCACGAAGCUGGAAUCGCUAGUAAUCGCGAAUCAGCAUGUCGCGGUGAAUACGUUCUCGGGCCUUGCACUCACCGCCCGUCA